rnacentral:rRNA from 1 species
UACAGAGGGGGCAAGCGUUAUUCGGAAUUAUUGGGCGUAAAGGGCGCGUAGGCGGUUUUUUAAGUCGGAUGUGCAAUCCCCGAGCUCAACCUGGGAACUGCAUAGGUGACUGCAAGGCUAGAGUACGGCAGAGGGGGGUAGAAUUCCACGUGUAGCAGUGAAAUGCGUAGAUAUGUGGAGGAAUACCGAUGGCGAAGGCAGCCCCUGGGUCGAUACUGACGCUCAUGC